rnacentral:piRNA from 1 species
UGGUUGAAGUGUCCUUAGUUUCUAGGG